CACAUGGCUGCUGCCUGUGGGUCUGAGUACAGGGAUCAGGGUGACGGACCAGGGUCUUCUGGGACCAACCUGCUUCCAUUGCUAAAGGGAACGUGAGACACAGAAGGAUGAAGGAAAGUAUUCUUGUCCAACUGCAACGUAAUCUCUUCUUUCUGUUGAUUUGAUCACUGCAGCUUGUCUGUCAGAAGUAGUAAGAGAACCUGUUCCUAUCAAGAGGUAAGGAAUGCACCUUCUCCUAGCAAUGGAGUGGAAACUAACCAAUCUCAGUGUACUUUCAGGUGAAGAAAGUGAAUCUAUCCUUUGGUGUCAAAGGCUACAAGCAGUUUCAUAAGAAUAAAACAAGAUACAUAACCAAAGCUUCUGAGAGGUUACAGAAGUAUUCACUUGCUCUAGCCAAGAAUAAGGAAACCACUUAUACCUACUAGAUUUUUAACAGUACAGCAGAUUGUAUGAACAGAAAGAGAUAAACCAAUCCAGCCAUUCAUCACACAG